rnacentral:miRNA from 1 species
GUUUAUAAUUUACACAUAAUAUUAGGUCGGUGCUAAAGUAAUUGCGGUUUUUGUCAUUACUUUCAAUGACGAAAACUGCAAUUACUUUAGCACCAACCUAAUAGAUAAGU